rnacentral:tRNA from 1 species
CGCGGCCCGGCUCGCGGAGCGGCGCUCCGCCAGCGGGCGUGGACUGCCGGCGGCGCUGGCGGGCUGGCAGUUCAGCCGUCGCCCGCUGCGC